UCCGGUUCCCGUACGAUCACCGUAGUUAAGCCACGUCGAGUCUGGUCAGUACUUAGAUGGGUGACCGUUUCGGUAAUACCAGGUGCUGAAAU